AGGCUACCGCUAUUGGAGUUCGAUUAAGCCAUGCGAGUCGCGAGAAUUAGAUUCUCGGCGUACCGCUCAGUAACACGUGGGUAACCUGCCCUAUGCUGGAUAAUAACCUCGGGAAACUGAGAAUAAUGAUCUAUAGUUCACUACGCCUGGAACGGUGAGUGGAUGAAAGCUCCGGCGGCAUAGGAUGGGCCUGCGGCGUAUCAGGUUGUAGGGGGUGUAAUGUACCCUCUAGCCCUCUACGCGUACGGGUGUUGAGAGACAUCGCCCGGAGAUGGAUUCUGAGACACGAAUCCAGACCCUACGGGGUGCAGCAGGCGCGAAAACUUGGCAAUGCGAGAAAUCGUGACCAGGGAACUCCAAGUGCAUGGGGUAAGACCUAUGCUUUUCUAGACUCUAAAAAGGUCUUGGAAUAAGAGGUGGGUAAGGACGGUGCCAGCCGCCGCGGUAAUACCGGCGCCUCAAGUGGUAGUCGCUUUUAUUGGGCCUAAAACGUCCGUAGCCGGUCUGAUACAUUCGUGGGUAAAUCAACCAGCUUAACUGGUUGAAUUCUGCGAGGACGGUCAGACUUGGGACCGGGAGAGGUGUGGGGUACGCUCAGGGUAGGGGUAAAAUCCUGUCAUCCUGAGCGGACCACCUGUUGCGAAGGCGCCACACUAGAACGGAUCCGACGGUCAGGGACGAAGCCUAGGGGCACGAACCGGAUUAGAUACCCGGGUAGUCCUAGGUGUAAACGCUGUGGACUUGAUGUUGGGGGUGCUCCGAGCACUCUCAGUGUCGAAGCGAAGGCGAUAAGUCCACUGCCAGGGAAGUACGGUCGCAAGGCUGAAACUUAAAGGAAUUGGCGGGGGAGCACCGCAACCUGAGGAUUGUGCGGUUU
rnacentral:rRNA from 1 species